rnacentral:rRNA from 1 species
UACGAAGGGGGCUAGCGUUGCUCGGAAUCACUGGGCGUAAAGGGUGCGUAGGCGGGUCUUUAAGUCAGGGGUGAAAUCCUGGAGCUCAACUCCAGAACUGCCUUCGAUACUGGGAGUCUUGAGUUCGGGAGAGGUGAGUGGAACUGCGAGUGUAGAGGUGAAAUUCGUAGAUAUUCGCAAGAACACCAGUGGCGAAGGCGGCUCACUGGCCCGAUACUGACGCUGAGGUGCGAAAGCGUGGGGAGCAAACAGG